UAGUUUUAUCCCCUCUAUGCCUUAUCUUCAUUAAUUCUUGCAUCACAAAAGACCAUAUUCUAUUCUGUUGCUCGACAAAAUUGUAAGAGACUAAACUCAAUGACCCAUUAGUUAAAAGGUUUAACGCGGGUGCUCAUAA